AUUUAAAAGGGGGGAGAGAGUCGUUAUUAAUCUUGUUUAGGCUUUCCUCUGCUUGGACUUCAAAUUACCCGCUCCUAAACAACCAUGGCAACCAUUGCCACAACCUCAUUGUGCGCUACAAAACCCCGCUUCGCUGCCCCAAAAACUGGAAUCCAGAACCGAAAACCUGCGAAUUGUUGUGUUAGAACUCUUCGGGAUCUAAAACGGGUUGCGGGUCUUCUUAGUUCGGGAUUGGCUGUGGCGUUCGUGGGAAACGCCUCAGCUGUUGUUUUACCUUCGCUGGAUCAGCUCAAUGAGCCCGCCAAUGCAUUGUCUUUGCCCACUUGGGCUAUACAUGUCUCCAGUGUUGUCGAGUGAUGAAUAUACCUCCCUCCUACACGAAUUGGACACAGCAUGUGGAAGUUUCUUCAUUAUGAAGUAAGAGGAUUUCACUACUGGAUUAUUCUUUGUUUAGACAAGUUAUUUACUGUCUUAUGCUUGGUUUGUAAUGCUUGGAAGGUUUUGACUUAAAAAAGGUUGUUUUUUUUUCCUUUAAAACAGUAUCAAUGGUUUAAAAUUUUGUAUUAGACACAGCUUAGGAAAUAACUUCUGUGAGGAUUGAGAAAUAGUAUACUAUAUAGGGCUCGUGCUGUCCCUCUACUCCCCUCCCUCUCAUGCUGCUAACAAUAAUAAUAAUAGUAGUAGUAAUAUCACUUAUCAAUACACACACACACACACACACACACAGAGAUAUAUAUAUAUAUUGAAAGAAACCAGUACACAAAGGGCACCCUCAACCUAAAGCCAAACUGUAUCUCCUUACCGUGUUCUUCCCUGUUCUGUUUUAUUCUUCCGAACUGAAAACUAAGUACAAAAAUCGUUUAGAUUUAAUUGAUGCAUGGGAUUCCAUCCUUUUUUAUUACCAUUAUAUGUUGUUAUAAUUCCAGACAAAUCCACUUCUUAUUAUGUAACAAGUAACAACAUAUCUUGAAAAAUAAAAAUACUAAACGAAGAGAGGGAUAGAGAUAGAGAGAAGUGAUGGGAGUUGCAUAUAUGUUAUCAGCGUUCUUUUGGGAGACUCAGAAGCGCGGCGGAGGAGCAAUAUGUACGAGGAAACUUCUUUUCUAAUUCAGAUAUCAAUGCUAUGUUUUCUUGUUGAAGAAGGAUAGCUUUCUUCCUCAGCUUCUCAUUCUCUUCUAUGAUGAUUUUGUUCUCCAGGUACAGCUUCAAGUUUGUGAGUUUCAUAUCUUUCCCUGCUUUUUCUUCACACCUUUGCCUGCAUAAUUUAAGACUAAAAUGCAUUAGAACCUUCCUAAUGCAUACAACUGUGAUAAGUAGCAUCAAAUUCAAAAGAAAGUUGUUUUGGUGAUGUCAAAACAUAUUAAACAGUUGUCAUUUAGAUGCUGGAUCUUAUUGCUAAAAUACCUGGUAAGCCUGUAUACUUGAAUUUUAGGCUUCUUUGAUCCUUGACUUCUCUCUGGAGAACGGAUAGAAGGAGAUGGGAACUUGUCUGCUGCGUUAUUGCACAUCCUUUGUUUUUCUGUGGUUCGUUUCUAACAGGAUGCGGCUAUUGAGCUGAAUUUUGCAGAACAUUAGCUCCUAUAAAUAUAAGUGGGUUUUUGUGUUAUGAAUGUAUAAAUCCAUCUAUUGGAGCUGGUCAGUUUGCACUUGAGAGAGAGAAAGAGAUUCCUCUUCUUUGGUAAUGAUGGAAGGUAGACUUGUAAUUGCCAAGACAGAAGUAAACAGAUAUGGAUCGAAAAUUAAGAAAAAGCCUAAAAAAAUGGAUUGUUCUAUGCUUGCCAUUUAUCUCCCACUUAGCUAACUUAUAAUUCCUUUUAGAAGAGGAAACAUAAUUAUGCAGAAACGUUUAUUCUAAACAAGGUUUAUCAUCACCUAAGUACAUUUUCGGGGUGUUUGUUUGUUGCCGCGUGGAGAGAAUCAUGGAAAACUUGCUGGUACGCAUGUCACGCCAACUCCCGAGUCCUGAGUGACUAUUGAAUAUUCUUUUUUAUUUUCUUCUUCAUUUUGUUGUACUGACAGGCAUAUUAUUGCAUGCAUCAUCAUCGUAGAGUUAAGUCACAUGACUAAAUUGUUAACCCUUCCCCGGGAUAAGUUACAUGAUAGCUCUGAUAAAAUAAUGGGUUAUGAUGGACACAACUAUUCAAGCAUUUGAUUUAUUGAUUAUGCCUUUCUUACUGGAGAUCGUGGGACAAAGAUGGUUCCCUGAGUUUAUUUUAUUGAUGUCAGUGGUCUUGAUUUUGCUAUUACUCAUCAAGCUGUUUCACGCUGGUUUCAUCAAGCUUUGUCAGCUGCCUUAGCAUCGGACAAUGUUGCACUGUAUUGAUCUGAUUAAACCUUUUAGUAUAUCUUCUUCAUGGUGCAUCAGGGCCCUGAACAGCACUGAUUGAUAUGGUUAUGCUAGUUGCAAGCGGUUUCAUGGCAUCACCACCAAUUUAAUGAAGUGUGAGCAUUGCAAGGACUAUGACAGGUUAUCCAUCUGUCUCUCUCUCUCUCACAGACACACACAUGCAUACUAGCUCUGUGGCCCAUUAGAAGCAAAUUGUUGGCAUCUUUAUUUGUACCCCUACCCCACUUCUUUUUCUUCUCAUUAUAUUCAGUUUGAACUCAGAUAUCUAAGAGUCAAAUGUUACAUUGAGGGCCUAAAAUGAUGCAUGGUCAUGGAAUUCAAUUGCCUCUCUUGGACAAUUUUUUACUGGUUACGCCUUCAGAUUAAUGAUGUUCAUGCCAUAGUGAGUCUGAUUAAUGUUCUUU